UACGGAAGGCAGCAGUGGGGAAUAUUGCACAAUGGGCGAAAGCCUGAUGCAGCUAUGCCGCGUGUAUGAAGAAGGCCUUAGGGUUGUAAAGUACUUUCAUCGGGGAGGAAAAAACAAAACUAAUAAUUUUAUUUCUUGACGUUACCCGAAAAAGAAGCACCGGCUAACUCCGUGCCAGCAGCCGCGGUAAUACGGAGGGUGCUAGCGUUAAUCAGAAUUACUGGGCGUAAAGAGCACGUAGGUGGUUUUUUUAAGUCAGAUGUGAAAUCCCUGGGCUUAACCUGGAACUGCAUUUUGAAACUGAAAUACUAGAGUAUCGUAGAGGGAGGUAGAAUUCUAGGUGUAGCGGUUGAAAUGCGUAGAUAUCUGGAGGAAUACCUGUGGCGAAAGCGGCCUCCUAAACGAAUACUGACACUGAGGUGCGAAAGCGUGGGGAGCAAACGAGGGAUUAGAUACC
rnacentral:rRNA from 1 species